ensembl:snoRNA
UGGACCAAUGAUGAUAGUUGGUGGAGUAUGAGUCAUAGAUGAUGAAUAUUAUGUGUCUGAAACUCUGAGGUCCAU